UGCUUACAGAAAUUAAUUACCAUAAAAAUAUAAUUUGUAGUAAUUAAUAAUUCCAAAAUUAUUUCUAAUUUUUCAAGUAAUAAAUAUAUUCACAUUUAUCGUUCACAUUACUAGACACUUAUUCUCGUCAUUAAAUAAAAAAAAAAUUUAUACGCAAAAUUUCUUAAUUAUUUUAUUUAGGAAAUCUCGGGUUAUUACAUUCACCCUCCCUUAUAAGGAUUCCGUCCCCGGAAUCACCGUUCUAAAACUCAUAAACAUAAGGGUACAUAGCACAUAUAAUCAUUGCACGUAGACCUCGAUCAUACUCGAUCGAACUGAUCUUUAACUAUCCUUCACAUCACUCUAAUUAGGCAGAAAUUUGAUUUCUGAAAGAACUCAAAAUUUCUUUAUAAAAUCACUUACUAUAU
rnacentral:lncRNA from 1 species